AUUGAACGCUGGCGGCAGGCUUAACACAUGCAAGUCGAGCGAGCGGCGGACGGGUGAGUAAUGUCUGGGAAACUGCCUGAUGGAGGGGGAUAACUACUGGAAACGGUAGCUAAUACCGCAAACCAUCAGAUGUGCCCAGAUGGGAUUAGCUAGUAGGUGGGGUAAUGGCUCACCUAGGCGCCGAGCCCUAGCUGGUCUGAGAGGAUGACCAGCAAAACUGGAACGAAGACCCGGUCCAGACUCCUACGGGAGGCAGCAGUGGGGAAUAUUGCACAAUGGGCGCAAUCCUGAUGAAGCCAUGCCGCGUGUGUGAAGAAGGCCUUCGGGUUGUAAAGCACGUUCAGCGAGGAGGCGUUACUCGCAGAAGAAGCACCGGCUAACUCCGUGCCAGCAGCCGCGGUAAUAC
rnacentral:rRNA from 1 species